UACGUAGGGUGCGAGCGUUGUCCGGAAUUACUGGGCGUAAAGAGCUCGUAGGUGGUUUGUCGCGUUGUUCGUGAAAACUCACAGCUUAACUGUGGGCGUGCGGGCGAUACGGGCAGACUGGAGUACUGCAGGGGAGACUGGAAUUCCUGGUGUAGCGGUGAAAUGCGCAGAUAUCAGGAGGAACACCGGUGGCGAAGGCGGGUCUCUGGGCCGAAACUGACGCUGAGGAAGCGAAAGCGUGGGGAGCAAACAGG
rnacentral:rRNA from 1 species